CUUGGACUCCUGUGGUCCAAGAGAUCGGGACUGAUAUUAUAUUAUAUUAUAAUAUACAUAUAUACACACGUAUGUACAUGUAUAUUCUUAUAACAUAUCCAUAUAUAUUAUAUAUUAUAAUAUACAUAUACAGUCCUGAUCUCUUGGACCCUUGUAGUCCAAG
rnacentral:miRNA from 1 species